rnacentral:tRNA from 1 species
GCGCCAGUAGCUCAGCUGGAUAGAGCAACUGCCUUCUAAGCAGUAGGUCAGGGGUUCGAGUCCCUUCUGGCGCG